GGAGGAGGUGGAGGCACAACGCAUGAGCGGCGGCGGCGGCGCCUGGGGAGGGGGGAUCGCUCGGGCACCCGCGGGGACUCUGCAGCAGCGCCCUAUGGAGAGGCGGCGGGCAGCGGGGCUGUGCUGAGGGGUCCAGGGGCUGCCUACCUGCCUGCCUUCCCCUGCCGCCGCGCCUAAGGAAGUGGCUCCCGACGCGACCCGACAAUAAGCGUAGGUAGAUGUGCAAUUGCCCAUAAAAAGAUAAGGGAGUCCCCGCGCCGCUUCGCCGCCCCCGCUGACAAUGGGAAGGUUGCGGGGUUACAACAACCAGACAAAAGUGAUGUGCCCUCUCUGCCGGCGGGUCAGGCAGCCCGGCUCUGCGCUCCGCCGUGGGUCUGUGUUUACCCACACUUGCCUUUGUUUAUAACACUCGCAAAGAAGAAUCUCCCCUUGUUUGCUUUUCCUUGCCUGUUAGUUGCCCAGCUGAUAAACCAGAGGACCUCGCAGCCCCCCGCUCCACCUCCGCCAAAAUCUUUUUGCACGCAAACGGCGAGGGAGGAUGGCUCCAGGGGGGCGAGGGCUGUAGGGCGGCAGGGCCAGCCUAGCCUUCCCCUGCCCCAGCAGCCGAGCUGCUGCUCCCCGGGCCUUGGGGGGCACGGGGAAGCCGCCCACCCCCUGC